rnacentral:rRNA from 1 species
UACGUAGGUGGCGAGCGUUAUCCGGAUUUACUGGGUGUAAAGGGAGCGUAGACGGUUAUGUAAGUCUGAAGUGAAAGCCCGGGGCCCAACCCCGGGACUGCUUUGGAAACUGUGUAACUAGAGUACAGGAGGGGCAGGCGGAAUUCCUGGUGUAGCGGUGAAAUGCGUAGAUAUCAGGAGGAACACCGGCGGCGAAGGCGGCCUGCUGGACUGAAACUGACGUUGAGGCUCGAAAGCGUGGGGAGCAAACAGG